rnacentral:rRNA from 1 species
GACGUAGGGCGCGAGCGUUGUCCGGAUUUAUUGGGCGUAAAGAGCUCGUAGGCGGUGUGUCGCGUCGGCCGUGAAAACCUGCAGCUUAACUGUGGGCUUGCGGUCGAUACGGGCAUCACUGGAGUUCGGCAGGGGAGACUGGAAUUCCUGGUGUAGCGGUGAAAUGCGCAGAUAUCAGGAGGAACACCGGUGGCGAAGGCGGGUCUCUGGGCCGAUACUGACGCUGAGGAGCGAAAGCGUGGGGAGCGAACAGG